UACGUAGGGGGCGUAGCGUUGUCCGGAAUUACUGGGCGUAAAGGGCUCGUAGGCGGCCAACUAAGUCAGACGUGAAAUCCCUCGGCUUAACCGGGGAACUGCAUCUGAUACUGGAUGGCUUGAGUUCGGGAGAGGGAUGCGGAAUUCCAGGUGUAGCGGUGAAAUGCGUAGAUAUCUGGAGGAACACCGGUGGCGAAGGCGGCAUCCUGGACCGACACUGACGCUGAGGAGCGAAAGCCAGGGGAGCAAACGGG
rnacentral:rRNA from 1 species